rnacentral:rRNA from 1 species
CAGCCGCCGCGGUAAUACGUAGGGUGCGAGCGUUAAUCGGAAUUACUGGGCGUAAAGCGUGCGCAGGCGGUUAUGUAAGACAGGUGUGAAAUCCCCGGGCUUAACCUGGGAACUGCGCUUGUGACUGCACAGCUAGAGUAUGGCAGAGGGGGGUGGAAUUCCACGUGUGGCAGUGAAAUGCGUAGAGAUGUGGAGGAACACCGAUGGCGAAGGCAGCCCCCUGGGCCAAUACUGACGCUCAUGCACGAAAGCGUGGGGAGCAAACAGGAUUAGAUACCCGCGUAGUCCCUGUCUCUUAUCC